CGAGCGGCGGGGCCGUCCCGCGGGGGUGUCGCGCUCCCGGGACGGGGCGUUUGUUUGUUAAUUGAGGCGCUGUUGCGCCUGRCGCUCGCACGGCGCUCCCGCUGCGGCCCUAAUGACUGGAACCGCGGGAACGCGGCGGGGCCCGUCUGCCGGCGGCGGGAAUCGUGUGAUUCGCGGGGAGUCACACCGCGAGAAGCGGGGCCGGGGGGAGCGAGCCCGCCCCGGGGGGCGGUGCGGGGCGCCCGGAGGAAAUGGAACGCGUGAGGCCAAACAGGGAACAAUCCCCGGGUUGCUGGCUGAGCCGACAAGCUCCUGUCGCCGGGUCUGUCGCCGUGUGAGCGAACGCGCGGAUUACCCCGUUAGGAGGAAAUGGGCGAUGAUGGGGCGACAAAUUCGCCCGCUGUGUAAUCACAAUUGAUUUGCAAUUUGCCGAGCGCCGCUCCCGACCCCGGAGCCCACCCCGGGUCACUGGGGACUGGGAAGCUCUCGGAGGCCGUGGCCGCGCUCCUCCGCGUGCUCGGACUAAGGAAUCGAUCCCGCUAUUACAGUGCUGUUUCUGACCAAAAUAAGAACUUUUCCGAAAGUAGCAGGUGGUUAUUUUAGCGCUAAUUUAGUUAACACCAUUAUGAAGUGUUACAAGAUCGAAUAAUGCCCGGGGAGGAAAACGUCUGCCAGAGGACUUAGUGACAGGCAGAGGCUUAAAAAGUCUCCAGUCCUGGAUGCGAUGCUCCAUUUUAAGAAGUGUCUCUUUUGCUGGUGGCUGCUUGAAGCGCACCUUAUUUAAAAAUCUCUACAGAAUGUAAAACUGAGUGAGUCUAGUCAAGAGAGCUGGGCGAGUCUGUAAAUUACCGCUCUGUCAGGAUUCCUCUUGCCUAUUACAAAGUACCUUUUUAUGCUGAACUUAAACUCUACGCUACAGAGACAGCAGAUGUGAGGUGAUGGCUUCCAAAAGCAACACAGAUGCCGUAAAAUUUCCAUUGCUAUAUUUCASCGAGGAAGCUCAGGAGACAUGCUGAAUGCUGCAGUUUAGAAUUACACUGUAACUCCCCUAGAAAUAAGAGAAUACCAAGUUUCCCAACAGUACAUUUGGCUUCAUUUUUGCCGUCAUUCAURUGCUCUUGUUUUCUUACAGCGAGGAAAAGAGAUGCAGCACAAAGAUACUGUGUCUUGAGGCUGUUCAGUAAUGACAGAAUUGGUAAUAUGGAACUUUAUGGCAAUUUAGUAAUGACUGCAUAUCCAAAUUCCCUAAGACCAUGAUAAUUUUUAAAAUUGUCUUUCAGGUAUAUAAAACAGCACAGCUGUGAGGAGGCUGCUUUGCUUUAUGUGACUGAAAAACAGCCUGGUUAGCUCAAGACUGUGGAAUCGGAGCCCAUUGUGUGUUCCUCAUACUUGGAGACUUCUCUGAAGUCCCUAGAAGUCCUGCGAUGAAGGAAUCAAGGGUCAAGUCUUUAAAAUGGCAUGUCAAACCUGAUCGUGGAUGGGCACAGUACCAUGGUGCUACUGUUGUUCWGUGAGACACAAGAGAGACUUCAGGCAACAAGAAAAAAGGCUGAAAGCAAUGUGCUGCAAUAGCUACUCCUGGAGUGCAGUGAGCAGGUGGCAGAGRGGCAGGAGAAGCUGCUGGAAGAGUAUUUUGCUGUCCCUUUGCCAUAAAGGAUGAUGACAAAGUGAUCSGUCAGUGCUGUGGGCUGAGGAUUGCUCCAAUGGUGAAGCUGCASGCUGUGGCCCUGAAUGUGGCUGGAGGAUUUUCUGCUGAACACAAGAACAAACUAUGGUGACAGCAGACAGGUGAACAGAACAUUGAACUCUUACCAGCUCUGAGUAUUGAUGCUGACAGGGUGAAAGAGCCACGACAGAGGAGAUGGGGAAUGCAGGGUUCCCUCUCAUGCAGGGAAACACCUCAUGCUUUGACAGAAUUCAGAAGACUGGAAGACUUUGUCUGAAAACUAAAACUUCUUGAUUUGAAAAAUAUUACAGUCCUCCUCUGACACUACAAGUGGGAUGCCUGCUGGCCCUACUCUGCAAGGCUGAGG